GGCCCGGUGGUGUAUGGUGCACGCUUGCGACUUGUGGAGUCUUGGCAGGAGGACGCGGUUCGAAUCCGGGUCGGGUCG